rnacentral:rRNA from 1 species
UACGGGGGGUGCGAGCGUUGUCCGGAAUCACUGGGCGUAAAGGGCGCGUAGGUGGCGCUGCAAGUCGGUGGUGAAAGCUCGAUGCUUAACAUCGAGUCGGCCAUCGAAACUGCAGGGCUCGAGCACUGUAGGGGCAGAUGGAAUUCCGGGUGUAGCGGUGGAAUGCGUAGAGAUCCGGAAGAACACCGGUGGCGAAGGCGGUCUGCUGGGCAGUUGCUGACACUGAGGCGCGACAGCGUGGGGAGCAAACAGG